GGAGAGGUGCCGGAGCUGGUUUAUCGGGACGGUCUCGAAAAUCGUUUUCGCCUUUGGUGAACGGGGGUUCGAAUCCCCCCCUCUCCGCCA
rnacentral:tRNA from 1 species